rnacentral:rRNA from 1 species
AGGCGAACCGGGGGAACUGAAACAUCUAAGUACCCCGAGGAAAAGAAAUCAACCGAGAUUCCCCCAGUAGCGGCGAGCGAACGGGGAGGAGCCCAGAGCCUGAAUCAGCAUGUGUGUUAGUGGAAGCGUCUGGAAAGGUGCGCGAUACAGGGUGACAGCCCCGUACACAAAAGCGCAUGUGCUGUGAGCUCGAUGAGUAGGGCGGGACACGUGGUAUCCUGUCUGAAUAUGGGGGGACCAUCCUCCAAGGCUAAAUACUCCUGACUGACCGAUAGUGAACCAGUACCGUGAGGGAAAGGCGAAAAGAACCCCGGCGAGGGGAGUGAAAAAGAACCUGAAACCGUGUACGUACAAGCAGUGGGAGCACAGGUUUACCUGUGUGACUGCGUACCUUUUGUAUAAUGGGUCAGCGACUUAUAUUCUGUAGCAAGGUUAACCGUAUAGGGGAGCCGUAGGGAAACCGAGUCUUAACCGGGCGUUAAGUUGCAGGGUAUAGACCCGAAACCCGGUGAUCUAGCCAUGGGCAGGUUGAAGGUUGGGUAACACUAACUGGAGGACCGAACCGACUAAUGUUGAAAAAUUAGCGGAUGACCUGUGGCUGGGGGUGAAAGGCCAAUCAAACCGGGAGAUAGCUGGUUCUCCCCGAAAGCUAUUUAGGUAGCGCCUCGUGAAUUCAUCUCCGGGGGUAGAGCACUGUUUCGGCUAGGGGGCCAUCCCGGCUUACCAACCCGAUGCAAACUGCGAAUACCGGAGAAUGUUAUCACGGGAGACACACGGCGGGUGCUAACGUCCGUCGUGAAGAGGGAAACAACCCAGACCGCCAGCUAAGGUCCCAAAGUCAUGGUUAAGUGGGAAACGAUGUGGGAAGGCCCAGACAGCCAGGAUGUUGGCUUAGAAGCAGCCAUCAUUUAAAGAAAGCGUAAUAGCUCACUGGUCGAGUCGGCCUGCGCGGAAGAUGUAACGGGGCUAAACCAUGCACCGAAG